GCGGUUCCGGUUCACGGGCGCGAGAGCCCGACCCGGCGACC
rnacentral:ncRNA from 1 species